rnacentral:rRNA from 1 species
AGCAAAUAGAUACCCUGGUAGUCCACGCCGUAAACGAUGGAUGCUAGCUGUUAUCAGUAUCGACCCUGGUAGUAGCGAAGCUAACGCGUUAAGCAUCCCGCCUGAGGAGUACGAGCGCAAGCUUAAAACUCAAAGGAAUUGACGGGGACCCGCACAAGCGGUGGAGCGUGUUGUUUAAUUCGAUGGUAAGCGAAGAACCUUACCAAGGUUUGACAUCCUGGGAAAGUUGGUGAAAGCCGACCGUGCCUUCGGGAACCCAGUGACAGGUGAUGCAUGGCCGUCGUCAGCUCGUGUCGUGAGAUGUUUGGUUAAGUCCAUCAACGAGCGCAACCCUUAUAGUCUGUUGUAUUUCUCAGGCUAGACUGCCCCGGUAACGGGGAGGAAGGAGGGGAUGAUGUCAGGUCCGUAUUUCCCUUACACCUUGGGCUACAAACACGCUACAAUGGCCGGUACAAAGGGCUGCCAAGCAGCAAUGCGGAGCAAAUCCCAUCAAAGCCGGUCUCAGUUCGGAUUGUUGGCUGAAACUCGCCAGC